rfam:Cucumis melo, WGS project CAJI01000000 data, contig: 04660
AAAAGCUGUAUGCUUUGAAAGAAGCUUGUACAAUUUGGGAAGGGAUUUUGAUUGAAAAAAAAGAAGAAUCUACUUCAAC